AAAUUUUUUUGGGCACCCUGUAUAAUUAAUCAUGUUAAUGUUUAUAUUACUGAAUAGGGAAUUGAAUAACCUUUCAAAUGAGCUAGAACUCGACCCCUAUUCCCAUUUAAAAAAUAGUCGAUUACGUCAUCACGCCUAAAUGGAUGACGUCACUAGUACGAUAUAUAUGUCAAAAAAUCAUAAUUAAAAAAUCGAAUAACUUUUGUAUUUUACAUUUUUUUCUAAUUCUGUAAAUAAAGCAGUUUACGAGGGGGUCAAAAUAUAGUGAAUAACCCUGUACAUUCAUUGGGGCCACAAGAAUCUACAGGUCGAGCAAGUCUCGUAAAUUUCACGAUUGCGAGCCACGCUUCACGCAACCGUGUUUGCGUACUUGUGUUUCGAGUUGCGUGGUCGUGCGGAGUUAUAUCAAAAUUAUCAAAUACCAAUAUGUCAAUAUGGCUACUGGGUGUAAAAGAUAAAUCUUAUUCUAUCUGUUCUUAAUGAGUUUUAGAUAAUUUUAGUUGUAUUUCUUUGUAAUUUUGUGUUGUACAAAGAUUAAUUUAACAUUUUCUCUGGAAGUAUUAAUUUAGAAAGAUAAUAUGCUUCAUUGGUGUUGUGUUUUGAAGUGUGAAAUGCAAAGUAAUUGUGAUAGUCAAGAUAAAGUUCACUUUUAAACUGAACUAAAUAAGGUAUCUGAGAGACAACAAUGGUUAAAUGCAAUACAAUGUACAGGUUUUACUAGCGAAAUGAAAAUUUUCCUGUCCUGUCUGCUGUAAUCAUUUUAUAUCUGGAAAACCAGCCGACUUAAUCGAUAAUAACAAUCUCCAGAUUGGGUUCCUUCAAUAAAUAUGGGCUAUAAACACAAUGAAAUAAGUUCCCCAAAAUCUAAAAUGGAGUGGUAUCAAAGGAGAAUUAAAGGGAAAAAUAUUCAUAUUGAAAUUAUUUAUAAGGCACUGGACUGUCUUAAAUUCUACAAUAAUACUAGAAUCAGCUGAGAGAAGUGGUCUACAAAAAACCAGGAAGGAAACGGAAUAUGUGGCUACGAAAGGCAAAAGAAAGGUUUACAAAGCAAAUGUGACACAUUUUUUUGAAAUAUUUAGGAGUAUCAGUAAAUUGCAUUAAAAAAAUGUAUGAAAAGAUUUUGUUCAAUAAAAAUGUUUAUAUUUA